GACGAACGCUGGCGGCGUGCUUAAUACAUGCAAGUCGAGCGAGGUUACUGUUUCGGAUCCCUUCGGGGUGAAGAAGCUUUAACCUAGCGGCGGACGGGUGAGUAACGCGUGGGUAACCUACCCCAAAGUCCGGGAUAACAGCGGGAAACCGCUGCUAAUACCGGAUGCCUUUACCUUGGGGCAUCUUGAGGUAAAGAAAGGCAACGCUUUGGGAUGGGCCCGCGUCCCAUUAGCUAGUUGGUGAGGUAACGGCUCACCAAGGCGACGAUGGGUAGCCGGCCUGAGAGGGUGGACGGCCACACUGGGACUGAGACACGGCCCAGACUCCUACGGGAGGCAGCAGUAGGGAAUAUUGCGCAAUGGACGGAAGGUCUGACGCAGCGACGCCGCGUGAGCGAUGAAGGUCUUCGGAUCGUAAAGCUCUGUCCUUGGGGAAGAAGGUCUUCGGACUUGACGGUACCCAAGAAGAAAGCCCCGGCUAACUACGUGCCAGCAGCCGGGGUAAACUCGUCUCUA
rnacentral:rRNA from 1 species